rnacentral:rRNA from 1 species
AUUGAACGCUGGCGGCAGGCCUAACACAUGCAAGUCGAGCGGAGCGGCGGACGGGUGAGUAAUGCCUAGGACUCUGCCUGGUAGUGGGGGAUAACGUCCGGAAACGGGCGCUAAUACUGCAUACUAUCACAUGCGCCUCGGUCGGUUUCGCUAGUUGGUGGGGUAAAGGCCUACCCAGGCGACGAUCCGUAACUGGUCUGAGAGGAGGAUCAGUCACACUGGAACUGGGACACGGUCCAGACGCCUACGGGAGGCAGCAGCGGGGAAUAUUGGACAAUGGGCGAAAGCCUGAUCCAGCCAUGCCGCGUGUGUGAAGAAGGUCUUCGGAUUGUAAAGCACUUUAAGUUGGGAGGCGUUACCAACAGAAUAAGCACCGGCUAACUUCGUGCCAGCAGCCGCGGUAAUAC